AUUGGAAAGGCAGCUUGAGAGCCAAGAUGAGGUAAGUAAUUUAAAAUACAGAAAAUCGUACUCUUGGAUGUCUGAGUAUAUAUAUAGACUGUACAUUUCACCCUCUUGAGCUGCGUGAUGAGACAGACAUAGUCUAAUGUUGGUGUAGGAAAUAAUUUUUUUCCUUUGGGUGUGGUAGACAAGUACUAAAAAUUCAGUUCAAUAUUAUUAAAAAUAUGUGUAAUUUUAUUAAACAUGAAUUUUACGAACAAGUACUUUUUUUUUUUUUUUUGCCAAGUCACAUUCUCUGGAUAAGUGAACACAAAAGUAUUUGCUUACUGUGUAGUGAAUGACUACAGAAAAUACUGCAAAGCCUAUCCUCUGAUAAGUUUAUUUAUAAGAAAUGUAUGAAUUCUAAGAAUACCUGCAGUUUUUAUACUUAUUGCUUUCCAUCACUUAAAAAAUAGACUUGGAAUUUGUUUUGUUUGCUCUAUGUAAAAAAAAAAAUGCUGAAAACAAAGCAGAAAAAUCCUUCAUUGACUUAGAUUGGAGGUUGAAUUUUAAAAAAAGAAGAGAGGAAUUCCAUGGUUGUCUAGCAGUUAAGGAUCUGGUGUUGUCAUCACUUUGGCUUGGGUUUGAUCCAUGGUCCAGGAACUUUUGUAUGCUGUUGGUGUGGAAAAAAAAUAGAGAAAGCUAUAACAAAAAUGUACCUCCUUAUUUAGUUAAGAAGUUAUCUACACAGUAGACAGUGUAAAUGAAAACACCAAAGCUCUUUUAUUUGGGCUCUUUCAGAGAACAGAGAUGGAGUUUAGUGAAUGAAGGUUUAUUCUAAAUGCAACCUAUUUACUACAUGGCCUGGACGUAGGGGUGCACAAGUAGGAAAUGACUAUCUCCCACCUUUCUUUCCCCUCUCCUCAGCUUCAUCCCACUGUAUCUCCCCAUAACUGGAUGAUAGCUUUGGAAGAUCCUACAAACUUUGGUAAAUUUUAACUUUGAAGAUGUCCUUAUUUUCAAGUAAUACACUAAGAAUAUGUUAUACUAAGUAAUGUACUAAGAAUAUAUCCAGCCAAGACUCCACUGAAGCUUUAAUCUCAUUCCCAGUUCAAAGAUGCUCCCUCUCCUCCACAGCCUCAAUUCCCACUCUUGCCCAGCCAGAUAUGGGGCUCAAGGACUAGCAAUAAUUGUUCCUUCAAGUGCCUCCUCCUACCAUUCCACCUUCUGGUUGAUUGAAAAUCUAAGUAAAGAGAAUGGGAAUUGGAGAAAAAAGGAUAACACCUUUUACUCAUCUGGGGCUCUUUCUCCUUUGGCUCACACUGGAUGAACAUCGAACCUUUCUUCAUUGCAGAAGUCUAAAUGCUGUCUCCUCAGUUCUUAAACACUCUUGUUUUAAACCCCAACCUCUACACUAUCCCAGUCCUUCAUGCACGUGGCACAGUUCAUGGCCAACUUAUUGUAGUGCCUUUUCAAACUCAGCCUUAUUUUAUGGUAGAACUCCCUGCUUGGCAUCACCUUUCUUGGUCGAGGUCCCUCAAGAUACCUUUGCAGGAACUCUUUUUUUUUUUUUUUUUUUUUCUUUCGGUCUUUUUAGGGCCACACUUGCGGCAUAUGAAGGUUCCAAGCUAGGGGUCGAAUUGGAGCUUUAGCCACAGCUACAGCAACACUAGAUCUGAGCCGUGUCUGCAACCUACGUCACAGCUCACAGCAACCCUGGAUCCCUAACCCACUGAGCGAGGCCAGGGAUUGAAUCUGUGUCCUCAUGGAUACUAGUCAGAUUCAUUUCCGCUGAGCCACAACAGGAACUCCAUAGAGCUCUUAAAGUGAUUUAUUUAGAUCAGCAGCAAUCAGUAUUCCAUUUAAUUUUGGGCGGCUGAGAAACAAGUCCAUUUUAGUUUUUCUACUUGCUUUUCCACUCUAGGAUCAAAAGAUUUCUAUAAUUCUAUAUCUUUAGUUUAAAAUCUUUUACAUUCCUAAAGGGGCAGAGGAGAAAAACACAAAAUUGGUCUAAAAUCUAAAGAAUAGCAGAUAACCUGCUUUUUUUGAAGGGAGGAGAAAGUAGAUUUCCUCAGUUCUGAACACAAGAAAUUUUGCCAUGUGUACAUGAAUUUAAAUAGUCGUGCUUUUUGUUUCCCUACUCACUUUUAGACCCUAAAAAUUGUAAAUAAUAUGUGACACGCGGGUUUAAAUAAAGUUAAACUUACCUGACGGAAGGCUUUACCCCAGUCACUGUGGUUUCCUUUGGAGAAUGUUCUUUUUACCAUUUUACCCCGACUCCAUAUAUGUUGCCACAAAACACUUUUACACACUUUUCUCCAGAAAAUUAUGCUGUAUAGAAUAAAUCUGAAUAAAUAUCUUAUUCUCAGCUUUGAGGCAAAUUCCAUGCAUCAAACUUUCCUGUGGUAAAGCCAGAUACAAAUACAGAGCAAUUAAAUGACAAAAAUGAGAAACACAGAACUUGACCACGUGUAUGGUAUUCUUCUGCCCUGUGGGAAUUUAUUUCAGCAGUUGAUAACGGCUUUUUGGAAAGAAAAUCUUCCACUGUAUGAAAUGCAUUUAUCAUUCAUGUGUCAUGGGGCGUAUUGACUUGGGCAAGGAUUCAUUUGAAAAAUUAGGGCUCUCUAGACCAAAACAAACAACUUGAAAAUAAAUCCACCAAAGGGUCUCUUUACUUUUUAAAAAUUAUGUGCCUAAUUUUACUAAUUUUGGACGUAUAACAUGUAUAUAGCACAUAUAUACAUAUACAUGCUAUACUUUAUUAUUGUUAUUCUGUACUUUUGCAUGUGAACAUUUUUGUGUCUGAUAAACUAGAACAUUUUAAUAUCUAUAAAAAUAAAUAGUAAUUUGCAAUAUUUUAUAGCCUAAUUUAUAUUAACUUGAACUAGUAUGUUUCCAACUUUUUUUUUUAACACCCACUCCAAUGCUAUAAUGAAUAUUAAUUAUAACUCAUAUUCUUGGGUGUUUUCUAUACACUAGGGUUUUUUUCGUAGCAGUCUGCAUAUAUUUAGUAAUUUAAUCUUGACAGUGAUUCCAUGAAGUAGGUGCUAAUAUUAUAUCUGGGUUUUUUAAAAAGCUGGGGAAAAUGAAGAAUAGAGAAAAUUUCUCGGUGUCAUAGAGCUAGUGUGUGAUUGAAUCAGGUUGGGAACGAAGCUAUGUGUCUCCAAAUUCUAUGUUCAUAAGUACUGUCCUAUACUGAGGUAGCAAGAUGGGAAGUAGAGAGCAAAAACAUUUUGAUCAGUCAGAGUCAGUAACAAUCAGUAGAUUUGUAUUUGGUCCUUUGCUUUGAUUUCUACUUCUUGGAAAAUCUUCCACUUAAUUUCCUUGGAGUUGUCAUUUUGAUUACUUGUUUUCAUAGCAAUUUUGAGGCAAGGCACACAGGAUGAAUUGGAAAACUAAACUACCUCUCUUAGAGCAGGGAUUCUCAAAGGCAUCUUCAGGGACUAAUAGCACCACUUGGGAAAAAUACUUCUUAUCCUGACCCAUGGAGAUUCUGAUUUGGCAGGUUUGGAUGCUAUUUUGGAAUAUGUAUUUUAAAAAAUCUCCCCUGUAGGUUUGGGUAUGAUUUAGAUCAUGGAAUUCGAUUUCAGCUCCUUUAAGUUGUUACAUGGUCAUUGUUUUAAUUCUCUGAACUCUACUCAGUGCUUAAACUAUAAUAUGAAGUUUUAAAUUUUAACCCAUCUCUUUAAAUAGAUUUAUUUCAAAACUAUAAUUAAAGAGAUUAAUUUUUCAGCACCUUUCUAGGAAGGGACCAAUGUAGGGUUGCUGUGGUGAGAGUAAUGGUUUAAUGGAAGUGUACUGUGAAUCACAUUUUCUCCAGUCAAAGCUGCCUUUGUUUUCUUUCCAGUCUUAUGUUUCUGAGAUUAUAUACCUAUUACAGUUGAAGGUCAUGUGUAAAGCAUCUCCUUCCACUUUUCAUCAUUAUUAAAUCAGUGGUGCUUUUGACUUAGAGAAAUAGACCGCUUCUACCUCCUUAGACCUUGCAAUUUCUUUCAAGAAAUAUAGGAGCUUGUGUUGGGGGUCAGAGUUACAGGAACUGCAUUAGCAGUGGCAACAGGGACUCCAGAAAGGUCAGUGGUCUAAAAAGUUGCAUCUAAGGGGCAGGAGUGAAAUCCAGUCCAAGUAAUGUAAACAAUUAGGUUACCCCUCCAAGGAGGGAAUGUGAAGGAAACAGGAAAACCAGAUGGGGAUGAGAGAAUACCAAGGACAGAGAAGAAGCUUGAACCAAAAGCAUUUGCCCAGUGGCUAGAGACUUUUUUCUUUUCUUUUUUUUUUUUUUAGGGUCACACCCAUGGCAUAUGGAAGUUCCCAGGCUAGGGGGCAAAUCAGAGUUGCAGCUGCCAGCCUACACCUCAGCCAUAGCAACACCACAUACAAGCCAUUUCUUCAACCUACACUGCUACUCAGGGCAAUGCCAGAUCCUUAACCCACUGAGUAAGGCCAGGGAUCAAACCCACGUCCUCAUGGAUACUAGUCAGGUUCAUUACCACUGAGCCAAAAUAGGAACUCUGGCUAAAGACAAGGGUGAAUUUCAUCAGGUACCCACAACCUUACCUCUGGAUGAAUAGAGGGUCCUGGUGGUACUUCAGGACUCCACCUGGAGGUUGAAUUUGCAUAGAUGGAAGAGAUGAAUUAUAUUGAUGAGACUUAUUAAUCCUCUAUUUAUUCAUUUUAUGCUGAAACCAACCACUCGCUGUUAAGAGUAUAGUUGAAC
rnacentral:lncRNA from 1 species